CCUGUGUCAUGCCAUGGGCUGGCCAUACAUAACAUGGUCGAUUGAUGGUCGAUAUUUUGGAGAACACCAGAAUAUUUGAUCAAUAUUGCGCAAGGCAACGCAGAUUCUCCAAAGUAGGCUAUGUGGUCUGUGUGAACCCCUGGUGUGAACCACUAUACCAACACGGCCACUUCACCUCUAUCCUGCCUGCCACCAAGAAAGAGAAUGUGACGGACGUCGGACGUCGACCACCCACCCAGAGCAUAGACAGGCCCAUCACUCUGGGUGAGUAGUGCGUAGUCCUGUGCAGACCACCAUGUUGACAUGAGUCUCACACUUAAUCCAGCUGAGGAAACUCAACUCUAGCCGCCUCUCCCUGUGAGCCUUCCAAAAGGGCAGCCGCCUGUGCAGUCUCCCCAGGCACCUACUCCAGUCGGUCACAGGGCUGACCAGAAGGCCAGCAUAUGCACACACACACACACACACACACACACACACACACACAGUGAUACAGUAAUGGAGACACACACACGCACACACACACUAAGACACACACACACAAACAGUCAUAAUACAGACUCACACACGCACACACUCAAAGCUGAAUGCACAGACCUUUCAUACAGAGAAACACAGAGACAGACACUCACACAGUCACACAAACACAUGGACACACAUGCUUACCCAGAAAUGUACUGAAACAGCUGUCUCUGGUGAAACAGAACAGUUUUAAAAAUAAAUACAUUUGCUGUUGUAACCCUCUUGAAAUCAAAAUAUACAUUACAAAUGAAAAUCAAUCAAAAUAUCAGUUAAUAUCGACAAACAAAGAGACCCACGGCAGAGGAGAGUACAAGGUGUGUGUGUGUGUGUGUGUAUGUGAGAGAAAGAGAGAGAGAGAGAGAAAGACAGAGAGAGAGAGGGAAGAAGAGGACAGAAGUGCACAGGAGCAUGAGAUGAGAGUUGUGUGUAUUUGUUAUAGAUGAAAUGACUGUGUGUGUGUAUAUACUUUACAUGUGUGUGAGUGUAUGCUUGAAAACUAAGAGGUAGUGUAUGUGUGUGUGUAUGUGCCUAUUUGUAAGUAAGAACGAAAGAGGCAAUGACAGAAAAACUUCAAUGAUGGAAGACUAUCUUAGAAGGAGACCUCGUAAUAAAUGUAACAUUAAAAUGUGUGCAUUAGGAAAAGAGAGAGAGAUGUGUGCGCCUAUACUUUGCCAAAGAGGGAGUGUGUGUGAGGACAGCAGAACUUGUCUACAAGUAAUCCUAACGACGCUGUUUGGGAUCAAUGGUGUUUGGAAAAAUGGGAAAGAAAAAUAAACGUGCAUUCGUAUAGCUUACACUCUGAGUGGACAGA